AUGGAGUCGUUGUUUGCUGAAGAGGGUACUGACACUGGUCAAAUUGACGGGAAGAUAAAAAACAAAUGGAGAUGGGCUUGGUUAGACGAAGCGGGGGAUGAUGGAAAGCUGUUUCGCACAUGGUGCAAAAAGAUGACAUUGUCAGGUGUGUGUAUGUGCGUUAUUUGUCAUAAAAAAAUCCCGUAUGGCGGCAAUGGCAAGAAAGUGUUAGCACGCCAUUCUGCAGAUGCUAAACACAAGGCUGCUGUUCGAGCGCUGAAACAUACCUCCUCUCUGCCUGGUGCCGUUACAGUAACAGCCGAGGCCCCCAUUUCCAUGGCUGAUCGUGUGUGCAACCAAAAAGUGCGCAUAUGUGCUUUCAUAGCUGAACACGAUCUUUUGUUUACUCUAGCACAGCCCCUAGUAAAACUAGUUACUGCCAUGGCCGAGGAUCGAAGUGCUCUUUCUAGAUUGUCGAUGUCAAAUACACACGCUUCGUACCUGUCUACACAUGGCAUUGGUGCCCAGUUCAAAUCUGAGUUGUCAUCCAAGCUACAGGGUCAUAUGUUUUCCCUCACUGUUGACGAAUCCACCACCACUAACAUGGACCGGGUUGUAAACGUGCUUGUGAGGUACUUUGAUGACGAUAGGCAGAAAGUACUGACCCAGCAUUUUGCCUCAAGUAAGGUCAAUAUUGCUGAUGCAAAUACGCUCACACACACACUGACGGAUAUCAUGCAGUCCAAUGGUCUGGAUUGGGACCAAACUGUGUCCCUUUUGAUGGACAACUGCAAUGUAAUGAGAGGGAAAAAAUCAGGCGUGGAGACACAAAUUAGGUUGCAGAACCCAUCACUGCUGGACAUUAGUGGGGCCACUGUCCACAUGGUUUCCAAUGUAGCAAAGGCUCUGUGUAGUCCAUUCCAAGGAUAUGUGGAGGAGUUUUGCUUGCUGCCUCCUCCAGGGCCCCUGAUGCCCCUGCUGCCUCCUCCAGGGCCCCUGGGCCUUCCACUGCCUCUACUUCCAAUAGAAAGUCAAGCCAAAAAAAACGAGGGUCAGGUGUAG
rnacentral:lncRNA from 1 species